GUUCAUACGUUGACGGUAUUUAACCAGAAAGUCACGGCUAACUACGUGCCAGCAGCCGCGGUAAUACGUAGGUGGCAAGCGUUAUCCGGAUUUAUUGGGCGUAAAGAGAGUGCAGGCGGUUUUCUAAGUCUGAUGUGAAAGCCUUCGGCUUAACCGGAGAAGUGCAUCGGAAACUGGAUAACUUGAGUGCAGAAGAGGGUAGUGGAACUCCAUGUGUAGCGGUGGAAUGCGUAGAUAUAUGGAAGAACACCAGUGGCGAAGGCGGCUACCUGGUCUGCAACUGACGCUGAGACUCGAAAGCAUGGGUAGCGAACAGGAUUAGAUACCCUGGUAGUCCAUGCCGUAAACGAUGAGUGCUAGGUGUUGGAGGGUUUCCGCCCUUCAGUGCCGGAGCUAACGCAUUAAGCACUCCGCCUGGGGAGUACGACCGCAAGGUUGAAACUCAAAGGAAUUGACGGGGGCCCGCACAAGCGGUGGAGCAUGUGGUUUAAUUCGAAGCUACGCGAAGAACCUUACCAGGUCUUGACAUCUUGCGCCAACCCUAGAGAUAGGGCGUUUCCUUCGGGAACGCAAUGACAGGUGGUGCAUGGUCGUCGUCAGCUCGUGUCGUGAGAUGUUGGGUUAAGUCCCGCAACGAGCGCAACCCUUGUUACUAGUUGCCAGCAUUAAGUUGGGCACUCUAGUGAGACUGCCGGUGACAAACCGGAGGAAGGUGGGGACGACGUCAGAUCAUCAUGCCCCUUAUGACCUGGGCUACACACGUGCUACAAUGGACGGUACAACGAGUCGCGAACUCGCGAGGGCAAGCAAAUCUCUUAAAACCGUUCUCAGUUCGGACUGCAGGCUGCAACUCGCCUGCACGAAGUCGGAAUCGCUAGUAAUCGCGGAUCAGCAUGCCGCGGUGAAUACGUUCCCGGGCCUUGUACACACCGCCCGUCACACCAUGAGAGUUUGUAACACCCAAAGUCGGUGGGGUAACCUUUUAGGAGCCAGCCGCCUAAGGUGGGACAGAUGAUUAGGGUGAAGU
rnacentral:rRNA from 1 species